rnacentral:rRNA from 1 species
UACGUAGGGACCGAGCGUUGUCCGGAAUCAUUGGGCGUAAAGAGCGUGUAGGCGGCUAUUUAAGUCCUGCGUGAAAUCCUGCGGCUCAACCGCAGACGGUCGUGGGAAACUGGAUGGCUAGAGUGCGGGAGAGGAGAGUGGAAUUCCUGGUGUAGCGGUGAAAUGCGUAGAGAUCAGGAGGAACACCCGUGGCGAAGGCGGCUCUCUGGUCGACAUCUGACGCUGAGACGCGAAAGCGUGGGGAGCGAACAGG